CCUACGGGAGGCAGCAGUGGGGAAUAUUGGGCAAUGGGCGCAAGCCUGACCCAGCAACGCCGCGUGAAGGAAGAAGGCUCUCGGGUUGUAAACCUCCUUUAAUAGGGAAGAGCAGAAGACGGUACCUCUUGAAUAAGCCAUGGCUAACUAAGUGCCAGCAGCCGCGGUCAUACGUAGGUGGCAAGCGUUGUCCGGAUUUACUGGGUGUAAAGGGCGUGCAGCCGGGAAGACAAGUCAGAUGUGAAAUCCCGAGGCGCAACCGCUGAACUGCAUUUGAAAAUGUUUUUCUUGAGUACCGGAGAGGUAAUCGGAAUUCCUGGUGUAGCGGUGAAAUGCGUAGAUAUAAGGAAGAACACCAGUGGCGAAGGCGGAUGACUGGACGGCAACUGACGGUGAGGCGCGAAAGCGUGGGGAGCGAACAGGAUUAGAUACCCUGGUAGUC
rnacentral:rRNA from 1 species